AUUGAACGCUGGCGGCAGGCCUAACACAUGCAAGUCGAACGGUAACAGGAAGAAGCUUGCUUCUUUGCUGACGAGUGGCGGACGGGUGAGUAAUGUCUGGGAAACUGCCUGAUGGAGGUGGAUAACUACUGGAAACGGUAGCUAAUACCGCAUAACGUCGCAAGACCAAAGAGGGGGACCUUCGGGCCUCUUGCCAUCGGAUGUGCCCAGAUGGGAUUAGCUUGUUGGUGGGGUAACGGCUCACCAAGGCGACGAUCCCUAGCUGGUCUGAGAGGAUGACCAGCCACACUGGAACUGAGACACGGUCCAGACUCCUACGGGAGGCAGCAGUGGGGAAUAUUGCACAAUGGGCGCAAGCCUGAUGCAGCCAUGCCGCGUGUAUGAAGAAGGCCUUCGGGUUGUAAAGUACUUUCAGCGGGGAGGAAGGGAGUAAAGUUAAUACCUUUGCUCAUUGACGUUACCCGCAGAAGAAGCACCGGCUAACUCCGUG
rnacentral:rRNA from 1 species